rnacentral:tRNA from 2 species
GGUGCGGUAGCUCAGUAGGUAGAGCAGAGGACUGAAAAUCCUUGUGUCGGGGGUUCGAUUCCCUCCCACACCACCU